rnacentral:lncRNA from 1 species
UCUGUUAUCUGGUCUUCCUCUACCACAGAUACUGUUUCUACCUGUACCCAGAUUGCUUGUGCUCUUUUUAUGAAUUUAGGGCAGAAAAGGCCCCAGAGGAGAACCAGGUGAACGAGGAGAAUCUGGUCUAAGAGGAGAUCAUGGAGAUCCUGGGACUACCAAUAAUGUUCCUGGUCCGAAGGGUGAAAAGGGAAACUCAGCACGGCAGGGAGACCCAGGACCACAUGGACUCCAAGGAGAGCAGGGUGAUGCUGGCCCUGAUGUAAGAACAGUAAUCAGUACAGGGCAGAAGUAACUGAUACAGUGGGGUUCCCAUUGAGAAAACCAAAUUUUCUCUCUUC